rnacentral:rRNA from 1 species
GAUCCUGGCUCAGGAUGAACGCUGGCGGCGCGCCUAACACAUGCAAGUCGAACGGCACCCCCUCUCCGGAGGGAAGCGAGUGGCGAACGGCUGAGUAACACGUGGAGAACCUGCCCCCUCCCCCGGGAUAGCCGCCCGAAAGGACGGGUAAUACCGGAUACCCCGGGGUGCCGCGUGGCACCCCGGCUAAAGCCCCGACGGGAGGGGAUGGCUCCGCGGCCCAUCAGGUAGACGGCGGGGUGACGGCCCACCGUGCCGACAACGGGUAGCCGGGGUUUGAGAGACCCGG